rnacentral:rRNA from 1 species
UUUAAUGAGAGUUUGAUCCUGGCUCAGGACGAACGCUGGCGGCGUGCCUAAUACAUGCAAGUAGAACGCUGAAGGAGGAGCUUGCUUCUCUGGAUGAGUUGCGAACGGGUGAGUAACGCGUAGGUAACCUGCCUGGUAGCGGGGGAUAACUAUUGGAAACGAUAGCUAAUACCGCAUAAGAGU